GUCCUCGUAGUUCAACGGAUAGAACGCGAGCUUGCGGAGCUCGUGAUCGAGGUUCGAUUCCUCGCGAGGACA
rnacentral:tRNA from 1 species